GACGAACGCUGGCGGCGUGCUUAACACAUGCAAGUCGAACGGAAAGGCCCCUUUGGGGGUCCUCGAGUGGCGAACGGGUGAGUAACACGUGAGUAACCUGCCCUUGACUUCGGGAUAACUUCAGGAAACUGGGGCUAAUACCGGAUAGGAAUCCUUGCUGCAUGGUGGGGGUUGGAAAGCUUCGGCGGUUUUGGAUGGACUCGCGGCUUAUCAGCUUGUUGGUGGGGUAGUGGCUUACCAAGGCGUUGACGGGUAGCCGGCCUGAGAGGGCGACCGGCCACAUUGGGACUGAGAGACGGCCCAGACACCUACGGGAGGCAGCAGGGGGGAAGAUUGAACGAGGGGCGGAAGCCGGAUGCAGCAACGCCGCGGGCGGGAUGACGGCCUUCGGGUUGAAAACCGCUUUCAGCAGGGGCGAAGCUUGUGGUGACGGUACCUGCAGAAGAAGCACCGGCUAACUACGUG
rnacentral:rRNA from 1 species